rnacentral:tRNA from 1 species
GUCUCCUUCGUCUAGAGGCCUAGGACACCGCCCUUUCACGGCGGCAACACGGGUUCGAAUCCCGUAGGAGACGCCA